CAUACACUUCGUUUGUUUCAUUAGUUGCUUAACUAAUGGGUGCUCGUACAGACUCGAAAUUUUUCUAAACGGUGUUGAACAGACAAAGUGUGUGUGUUUAUAUUAAAUAAAAUUUUGAAAAAAUAAAUUCUAUGUAUUGUAUAAAUUUGAAAAUCAAUUUUAGCUUUUUGUGUAACUAAAAUAUAAAAAUUAAAAAAAAUAUACAAUAGUAUUUUGAGGCCUGUUUGGCGCCAUAAAAAUUGACUGGAAUUUUCAAAAAAAGAAGAUGUGCUAAUUUUCUUUGUACAUGUUUUAAAGAUAGAAUUUUAAGUGUUUUUGUGCUAUUUUUAAAUUCGAGUUGAAGUGGUUGAAUUUAUAGUUAUUUGUAUAUAAAACUAUAAAUAUAUCUUUUAUGUGAUUUUUUUUUCGCUUGCCAAUAAAAAAAGACAAUUUUCAUUAUUGGAUAUAUUAAAGGCAAAAAUUAAAAGCUCAUUUUUGCGCUGUUUAAGAAAAAGUACGACCAAACAUAAGAUAAAUACAAAAUUUACAAUAAAAUCUAAACGAAAAGAGGAAAAUCUAAACAGAACAAGAAAAUUUAAACGUAACGGCCAAUUGCCAACAAAUUAAAACAACAACAAGAGCAGCAGCAAUAAUAACAAAACGGCAAAACAAACAAAAAUCACACAAAAACAAAAAAAAGAAAAACUAAAAUACAAAAACAAACAACACGAUUUAUAACAAAUAAUAACAAUAACAACAAAAACUAUAAAAUAGAGAAAAUAGAACAUCGUAUCUAAACAAAUCGUUUGAAUUUUGCUUGCCUUCGUUUUUAAUGUUAUUGUUAUAGAGCAAACACAAUAACAACAGCAGCAACAACAGCAACCAAUUUGAGUUCGUUCAUUCUUGCACUAAACAAGCCCAACAACCAGCAGAGACAAAUCAAAACAAUUUAAACCAGGGAGCGAUUAGGCACCGUUAGAUUGCUCUCUACCUUUAAACACUAAGUAAAAGAAGAAGCAGCAGUACAUCGACAACAACAACAACAAGAA